AAGUUUCACAUUUGGUUUCCUCAUCACAAGUUUUGCUUUUGUCAAAUAUGAUAGUUUUUCUAAGAUUCUCUUUUUAUCUUUUCGAUGCUACAAAACAUGUUUUUGUAAUAUUCUUGCUGUAUACGAUCAGAUUUUGGUCUAGUACAAGGGUUUAAUCUCCCACAAAUGUGGCGACCUACAGUUUAAACUUCAGCCGGGAUAAAUGCCCACAUUUAUUGUGACAUAGUGCCUUGAACAUGGUUACUUUCUGGGAUGGGAACCUAUGAAAAACACAAUUGUAAUCUUGCACAAUUAUCUUUUAUAACUCCUGCACUUUGGCAAGGUAA
rnacentral:lncRNA from 1 species